rnacentral:rRNA from 1 species
GAUCCUGGCUCAGGAUAAACGCUGGCGGCGCACAUAAGACAUGCAAGUCGAACGAACUUAACCAUUAGUUUACUAUUGGAGCGGUUAGUGGCGGACUGGUGAGUAACACGUAAGCAACCUGCCUAUCAGAGGGGAACGAACAGUUAGAAAUGACUGCUAAUACCGCAUAUGCCUUAGAAUCACAUGGUUCAAAAGGGAAAGGAGCAAUCCGCUGAUAGAUGGGCUUGCGUCUGAUUAG